AUUGAACGCUGGCGGCAUGCUUUACACAUGCAAGUCGAACGGUAACAGGCCGCAAGGUGCUGACGAGUGGCGAACGGGUGAGUAAUGUAUCGGAACGUGCCCAGUCGUGGGGGAUAACGCAGCGAAAGCUGUGCUAAUACCGCAUACGAUCUAUGGAUGAAAGCGGGGGACCGUAAGGCCUCGCGCGAUUGGAGCGGCCGAUAUCAGAUUAGGUAGUUGGUGGGGUAAAGGCUCACCAAGCCGACGAUCUGUAGCUGGUCUGAGAGGACGACCAGCCACACUGGGACUGAGACACGGCCCUGACUCCUACGGGAGGCAGCAGUGGGGAAUUUUGGACAAUGUGCGCAAGCCUGAUCCAGCAAUGCCGCGUGCGUGACGAAGGCCUUCGGGUUGUAAACUGCUUUUGUACGGAGCGAAACGGCUCUCUCUAAUACAGGGGGCUAAUGACGGUACCGUAAGAAUAAGCACCGGCUAACUACGUGCCAGACGCCGCCGUAA
rnacentral:rRNA from 1 species